GGUUAUGGUUCAGUGGUAGCACGCUUGCCUAGCAUGCAUGAGGCACUGAGUUCAAUUCUCAGUACCA
rnacentral:tRNA from 1 species